UCCUGAGGCGCCCUUUCAGCUCAGGGAAGGUGAGGCAGCAGUCAGUCCCCGCCGUUAAAUGCUCCGCCGGAGGAGAAGCGCCCUCCUCUCCCCCCGUUUCUCUUUUCGAAGCGAAGGGAGGGGGGCUGUUCCCUGUGAGGAGGGCUGCGGCGCCCUGCUCUCCGCCUCGGCCCCCCCUUAUCACCGGGCAGGCCGGCUGACUCACGGCUCUGGCGGGGAGAGAACCUCUGAGAAGAAAUUUAAAUAGUCACCAGACCAGCAUAAGUAAGAUACAUGCUGACUUUUCAAGCUUUGCCUGUUUCCUGAGGGAAAUACCACAGUUCUCAAUUCCUGUCUACCGCCUAUCUGUCCUGAGGCUUGUGUUGAGCAACCCCUGUGUUUACCUGUAAGAUGUCUGCUUUUCCAGUUUUGCUUUUGGAGGCUAGGUAUUCUCCUGAAGCAGGAAUUUCUCCUUUGAACUCCAGAAAAGUACCACCUUGAUUCAGAAGUGUCCCAUCUGCAAAAUCAUCUUGGUGCUUUCGAUUGUGGCAGUUUAUAUUGAAGAAUGAGUUGAACAGAUGUACAGGGAGCUACAUGGUGUAGAAAUAACAUUUCUUGCUAUUCUGAAUAGUUACAGGGAUGAACUAAAUAAGGUGUUAUUCCAAAUGAAGUUUCAGGUGCUGGAGGACAAGUUGAGGCUGCAAGUACCAUGAGUUGUCACCGUUUUCACUGCACUAUCAGAUAACGUGCUGCCGUUUGUAACCUUUGUGCUGAAGUAGAGAUCAAAAUACUUCCUAACUGAACCUGAUUACCUGUGCACCUACAUAUGACUCUUUGACUGCUUUAACAUCAACAUUAGUAUUUUGAAUUUUAUGAGUAGGAGUAAAAACUGCAAUUAUUACCAAAUGCAACAUUCCAUAAGCUCUCUGUAAAGAACAGUGGUGCGUACAUAAGCUCUGAACAGUAAUUCCUGUUACAUGAUUAGUCCUCCCUUCUGCUUAGGUUUGUUUACUCUAUUACCAGUUCAUGUUCAUUUAUUUUUAAAGUAACUCCCUCAAUGUCAAAUAUUAUCCAGUAGGAAUAAUAGGAAUAUUUUGUAUUAGACAUUAUUUUAACAGCAUGAUGAUGUAAAGAAAAAUUCAAACAUGGCAAACCUCCUUUCCAAACAAAAUAUGAGCCAACAUUAAAAAGU